GGUUGCUCGGUGGCUACUUACCUACCCCUUCUGGUUCUGCGUGUUCUAUCUGCAAUCAACGACGGCGCGUCUCGACGGUACUGCUAAUUAGCCUCCUAGCCAGCCUCCGCCUGGAGGUCCAUCCCCGACCUCGACGCUUCCCGGCCAAACGCCGACGCCCCUCACCCUCGGCGCAGCGCCGCAGCGUCGCGGUGCUCCAUACCCAUCCCCCUCCAUGGUCGGCGCCUGCAUCCCCCGGCAUCGCGGUGCUGGAUCCCCUCCCUCUCUCGCGUUACGCUAGAGUUCGAGAAGGGGAAAAGCGACGUAGGGUUCGGCAACGACACCUCUGUGUCCCCUCCUCCCUCGCGCACUCAUUUUCCUUCGUCUCGUUGCUACUCAGAGGUUUGACACACUCUCCAAUCUACGUUUCCUAGCUGCUAGGGCUUUUAUUUUUGCAUGCCUCUUCUUACUCUCCGAAUUCCUCUUGGUCGCCUGGCAAAGUGCGUUCCAUCCGAGCGGUGAUGUGAGAUGUGUCCCCCCUAUUCUUCAUCGGUUUGCUUGCAAUGAUUGAGAUAGAUGUGCUCAUUCGCCUUGCAGAAAAUGAAAAAUAAAGAUAUCUUUGUGCCCAGAUUCAGAGAUGGUUUGACUACCUAAUCAUAUAUGCAUGGUACAACAGCCAUAAAACUGAAUUUUAUUUGGCUAGAACCUGAAAUGGCGGAAACUCUCAGGAAUCAUGGUGCAACCGUGCAUGGAUCACUUGUCUAAACUAGUUACAUCAUUUUGAUUAAGAAUAAGGAUUACCUGAUGGUUGUCUCCUAUUUUCUGUUGUAGUGCAAACCGUCUAAAGCUGACUGUUGGAUGGGGUUGGCGAAGGUGUGCUUGAAUAAGGAUCACCUGAAGGCGUGGAGUCCCUGGCUGCUGGUUGUUGUGUGUCCUGGCGGGCGACAGUUUGAAUCCCCUGCAGGCAGUGGCGGCUGUAAUAUGUACUAGUAUAAGCAUGCAGACAACAAUUGGAAAUUGUAUGAUUCAUGUGAUCAUUUUCCUUGUAUCUUUUCUAUUGUUGGUUAUAUAUCAGAUUUUAGAAGAUUCUUGUGAUCCUUUUCCUUGUAUUCUUUUCUAUUGUUGGUUAUAUAUCAGAUUUUAGAAGAUUCUUGUGAUCCUUUUCCUUGUAUUCUUUUCUAUUGUUGGUUAUAUAUCAGAUUUUAGAAGAUU